AUGGAUAAUAAUUAUGAUUUAAUAAAAACAAUUGAGGAUGAUCAAGAAGUGCCAGAUUUCUCUGAAAAUUCUGAUGCAGAAGACGAUUUUCAGCCUCAUAAACAAAAGAAAAAGGAAAAGAAAGAGUUUGAUAGGAAUUUUCAAUUUUUAAAUGAUGCUGCAGAUUAUAAUAAAGAUACAUGGAAUGAUUUAAACAAGUAUAUUAAGAGAAAAGUUAAAACAAAACUGGAUGAUAAAAUUAAAAACAUUCGAAAUGAAUCUGAGAAAGAAAAUACAAUAGAUAAUGACUUCAUUGUAGAUUCAUCUGAAAUUAAAAAAGAAGAUGAUGAAAUUUCAUUGUCAGACGAUGAACUUAAGAAAGAUGUAUUUAAGACAAAAGAAAAGAAGAAUAAAAAGAAAAAAAAUGUCAAGGAAAAUGAUGAAGAAACGAUUGAUUUUGAGGAAUAUUCAAACUCAGAAUCUCAUGCAACAUUUUAUCAAAUGAAUCUAUCACGUCCUCUAUUAAAGGCAAUAACAACCAUGAAUUUUGUCCAUCCAACACCUAUCCAAGCUGCUACCAUUCCUGUUGCAUUAAUGGGUCGUGAUAUAUGUGGUUGUGCUGCAACAGGUACUGGUAAAACUGCAGCUUAUAUGUUACCGACUCUAGAAAGAUUAUUAUAUAGACCAUUAGAUGGUCCUGCUAUUUCUCGAGUUCUUGUACUUGUUCCAACAAGAGAACUUGGUGUACAAGUGUAUCAAGUUACAAAACAAUUAGCACAGUUUACAACAAUUGAAGUAGGAUUAUCUGUUGGUGGUUUAGAUGUAAAAGUUCAAGAAACUGUAUUAAGGAAAAAUCCAGAUAUUGUAAUAGCUACUCCUGGAAGAUUAAUUGAUCAUUUGAAAAAUACACCUACAUUUUCAUUAGAUAGCAUUGAAGUACUGAUUUUGGAUGAAGCAGACAGGAUGUUAGAUGAAUACUUUGCAGAACAGAUGAAAUAUAUAAUACAGCAAUGUUCAAGAACUAGACAAACAAUGCUGUUCUCAGCUACAAUGACAGAAGAAGUAAAAGAUUUGGUUGCUGUAUCUUUAGAUAAACCAGUUAAAGUAUUUGUAGAUAGUAAUCAAGAUGUUGCUUUCAAUUUGCGUCAGGAAUUUAUUAGAAUACGAAAAGAACGAGAAGGCGAUCGGGAAGCAGUUUUAGCUGCUUUAGUUUGUAGAACUUUUCAUGAUCAUGCUAUGGUUUUUGUGCAGACAAAGAAACAAGCUCAUAGACUGCACAUUCUAUUAGGAUUGUUAGGUAUCAAGGUUGGAGAACUCCAUGGUAAUCUUACACAACCACAACGUUUAGAAAACUUGAGGAGAUUUAAGAACGAGGAAAUAGAUAUUUUAUUAGCAACGGAUGUUGCUGCAAGAGGUUUGGAUAUUAGUGGUGUGAAAACUGUAAUUAAUUUCGUAAUGCCAGCAACUAUGCAACACUAUAUUCAUAGAGUAGGAAGGACAGCUAGGGCUGGUCGUGUUGGAGUGUCAGUAUCAUUGGCUGGAGAACAGGAACGUUCUUUGGUUAAAGAAAUUAUCAAAAAUGCAAAAAAUCCAGUAAAAAAUCGAAUAAUACCACCCGAUAUAAUAGAAAAAUAUAAUAAAAAGUUACAAUCUCUAGAACCUGAUAUUAAAAAGAUUUUAGAAGAAGAAAGAAAUGAAAGAGAAUUAGCUAAAAUAGAAAAUCAGGCAAAUCGCGUUGAAAAGUUACUAAAGGAUGAUAAUAAAACAGUACAAAGGACUUGGUUCCAAACACAGAAGGAAAGAAAAGAAGAAAAAGAAAAAUUAUCACUAACAGAAAAGCAGGUGAAGGCUAAUAAAGGGAAGAAAAGACAAAGUGAUGAGGCUCCAAAUGUAGUUAAAGAUAAGAAAAAGAAAUUAUCCAAAGAACCUAAAAAAGAAACGGCGGAAGAUAGGGCAAAUAAAGAAUUAGAAAAAAUUGCGGCAUUCCAAGCAAGAUUAGCUAAAAAGAAGAACAAACAAAAGAAACUCCGUACAGUCGUAGAUGAUAAAUUUAUGACUAAUAAAAGAGGGUCGUUAAAACGGUUAAAAUCUUCAUUUGCUGCUGAUUUGACCGACACUAGUAAGAAAGCUGUAAAAAAAAUGCGUUACGAGGCAAACAUUAAGAAAAAUGAAAGGAAAAGAAAAGGCGCACACAAUUUAGACAGAGGAAAGAAGGAUACUAGGAAAUCUUUUAGGAAACGUUAAACCAAAUUUUUUUAUACUUGUAACUACAUCUUAUUAAAUACAUACCAUUUUACUUAAUUUGUUUUAUUAUAGAACCGUUACAAUGCGUCACUUACGUCUCACAGAUUGACAGAUGAAUAGCACUGAUUAAUUGGUUUUUUUUUUUUGUCAGAAUAUGUAUAUUUUGUAGUCUAUAACCUGUUUGAAAAAAUUGCAGUACUAUGCAAUGAAAUACCCACAGAAACAUAUUUUUUUUUACAAUAACAAUGUAGAACAUAAUACAUAGCAUAUUUUAUAGUAGCCUAAAUCUGUAAAUUACUUACAGAAAUACGCAGUAAGAGAUUUUGUUAAUUCAAAACAGUAACAAUGUAUGAGUAAUGAAUUAUGAAAUAAUAAUUUAUACAUGAAAAAUAUAAAGUUAUCUAUAUGAAUGUCGAAAAAAGAAUUAGAAACUGCGAAGUAUGCAUUGUACUGUAAUUUCAAUGAAGAGGUAAUAGGUAUGUGUUAAUUCUAUAAUGUUUAUAUAAUAAGAUCAAACACUCAUCCUCAUUCACAGCCUCAUACACAAUUUUCACUCUCAUCUUAAAAUUUAAUACAGUUUACUGCUUAAUGCUAAGAAUUCUAAUGUUGAAAAAGGAAAUUUUAUAAAACCUAGGCCCAUUUUAAAUUAUUUUAAUUGCAUUCAAAUUUGUACCCAAUUCCUUUCCUAAAUCUGUAAACAAAAUUAAAUACUUAAUACAUUUUAUCAACUUUUUUGAUUGAUCGUAAAAAUACAAUGAUGCCUUUGAAAUAAACGAAAAUAUAUAAGCUAAAUAUAAAUAUCCGUAAAUACAACAUGCAGGUGUCAUAAAACAUUAACUUCUUUUUUGUUAUCUCUGGAUACAAAUUUGAAUUAAAAUGAUACGAAAAUAGUUUAUAAUGCAUGUACAAUAAUGACAUUAAUGCGAAAAUAACUGUCACAGACGAGGAUAAUGAACUUCAAUCAGUUAUCAGAUUGGUAUUGUAUUCUCAUUAUUUUUUAUAACAAAAGUUUUUAUAUUAAUGCGCACUAUUUAUCAAAGAUAUAUUUAUAUGUAUAUAUGUAUUAGAUACUAUUGAAGUAUUUAUAAGGUCACCUUGUUUAAAAUAAAUUAAUUAGUGGCCGUGCGCUGACCAAAUCUCAUUUAAGUUAAUUUUAAAAUUAAAGUAUAAACGAGAUAGUUUUAUGAGACAAUAUAUGUCUUAUUAUAAAAUCAAAACGACAUAAUUUGUUUAAUAAAAUAAUAAUAAUAGCAAUAAGAUAAUAAUAUUAAGAAUAAUAAUGAUAAUCAGAUUAAUAGAAAUAAAACAACUUUGGAUCACAAAGCCAAUUGACACACCCACUCUUUUAUCUAGAACACGAUGUUUAUAGAAAUCCAACAACGUUAUGUUGUUCUCUUCUGCGUACAAAGGAAAAAUGGUAUCGUGUAUAUUGGUCAUGUUAACGAAUAAACACCUAAUAGCUUGCUUCGCUUGUUUUGGUGUUCCCGUUUCUGCGAAAUUCUUACAUAUCGGAACCAUCAGGUUCAUGAUAUCUGGUGCAACAUCACACAAAGGUUUAUACUUUCCUAAAAAUGUAAAUAUUGAAAGUACCAAUGGGGCUACCAUUUCAUCCUCCAGCUCUAAAAGAUGGACAAGUUGCAUCAAGAUAUCAUUGUGAAGAAAAUGUGGACCAAAUACAAAUGAUAGCAUCUAUAAAAAAAGAAGAUUUUAGUUUACAUUCUAACUGUGGAAGGACGGACAACAAGACGCUGGGACAUAUGUGAUUUAACUCAUAAAUCAAGUCAUAUACUUUUUUGCAGAUUUGUAAACUCUUUUCCUCUUUACCCAGAAUUAAAACGUGAUUAAAGAA